rnacentral:lncRNA from 1 species
UCGUAAUUCGUUGCAGGAUGGAAGGGGGCUGUGGUCGCGCGUGGGAACCCGCUCGCGGCUCGGCGGGUCUAGGGACUUCGGGUUCCUGAAUGUCAAAGGCGCGGGCAGCUCCUAGAGCAAAUUGCGGGAUUUCUUUGGGAAACGCGACUGGUGAGCCCUUCCCGGCUCCAGUCCACUUUGGGCGCUGGAACCACUCCCCGUUCUGCUCGCGCCUCAGUGACUGUCUACCCGGCCCAGGGCACCGUGGACAGGACCGCACACGAAGUAGUCACCUUCCGCUGCAGCUUUGGGGAGACAAGCGGAAUCAUUUUCUUCCAGCGAAUUCUAAAAUCGUUAGGUGCAAACUCUUUGAGUGUCGCACCCCUGGCCUGGGUUCUUCCUCCCGCUCCUUGUGGUGUGGACAGUGGUGAGAGCUCGGAUGUGCUGUUGUUGGCCAGAAGUGUGUUCAAAUUUGGACUGGCCAUUUCCUCGCUGAGUGACCUUGAGAAAUUGACUCUAUAUAUUUAGAUUUCGGUUUUCUCGUUUGCAAAAAAGGAAAAUAAUGCAUGCAUGCGGGUUGUUCGUGAGCCGCGAGUGAGAUAUUGAGGGAGCGCAGAGCACUGGGCCUGGCACGUAGUAGGCACUGGGCAGCGUGGCUCACCUCCCACUCUAUCCCCCCAGAGUAAUGGCUGAUGUAUUAUUGUUGUGACUCUUGUUUAUUUUGUUGGCAGUUUAAUUUUAUUUGCAGGGGCUCAGUACGUUGGAGAGAAAGGUGUAUUUGUCUACCAGUAGGGUCAGUUUCAGAGGACGGGGAAAGACAGGAGGUGCAGGUUGGGGAUUCUUUCUCUCUUCUCCCAACAAUCCAAAGGCGUCAGGAUUUGCAGGGCCUCCAGGCCUGGGUCUGGAGUUAGGUCACUUGCCCGCUGUGUGACCUUGGGCAAAUUCCUGGCCCUUGCUAAGCCUUCCUGGUGGGUGUGGAGAGGGAGGCCCAACAGUGAGGAGUGAGAGCUGCAGGAUGUCUGGGGUCUGGGCAAGUGCUCCCUCACUCCCUUCCAGCGACAACGACCCUCAGAUGGGGUAGAUGCCAUUGCCCUGGCUCCAGGGGGCCUCCUGCUUCUAAUUCAGGCUCUGCCACUGGCAGUGUGGGUCCCUAACCGCCCCUCCCAGAACCGCAUUUUCCUUAUUUGUAAAACAAAAAGGGCACCAGCUACCCCCAGGGUGGCUGUGAGAACAAAAUGAGAUAACAUCUGUGGCAGUGCCUGUGUGAAACUCUGGCGGUUAUAUCAUAAUAACUUUAAUGACAACUAUAAAGCUACUGUAGCUGAGACCCUAGCCUGUGCCAGGCAGGGAGGUGGACACUUAUUUAUUCUUCACAAUGACCCUGUGAGGAAAGGGCUGUUAGUGGCCCCAAUUUCUCACUAAUGAGGGAAUUGAGGCUUUGAGAGUUCAAGGGAAGCACAGCUCCCCACUUGGGGGCUGGAGUUGGCACCUCACCAGCUCCACUUCCCUUCUGGCUUCCAGUGCCCGGGACUCAGGGCUGCCCUUGUCACUUCAGACACUGUUAAAUCAGGACAACAAGGCCCACCGCACAGAGGUUUGUGGCACAGAAUUAAGGCGUGGGUGGCACAGCGCUGCUCCCAGCUUGUGUGCUUAAGAAUGGGAUUCCCACCUCAGUUUACCAGCUGUGGACUCAGGGAAUUAUUCAUCCUCUUUAUGCCUCAGUUUUCUCAUCUGGUAAAUAAACCUCAUGGGAUUAAAUAAGCGCCCCAGGUAAAGCCUGGCACGGGUCAGGGCUCUGCUUCACUGCUUGGCUUCCGGCUUCCUGAGAUCCACGGUCCCUCAUCGUCCAGCCCUGUCAUACAGAUGAAGGAGCUUUGGGCCACUAAUUAUAAGCCUCCUUUCACUUCCUAUCCAGAUAGCUCUUAGGCAGCUCAGGAAUGGGGGGAACUUGGUUAGUCCCUAGGACAGUGGUUCUCAGAGUGUGUUUCCAGAGCAGCAGCAUCAGCAUCACUGGAGAAUUUGUUAGAAAUGCAAAUUAUUGGACCCUCGCCAGACCUACGGCAUCAGACACUCUGGGGUAGGACUCGGCAGUCUGUGCUUAACAAGCCCUCCAGGUGAUUCUGAUGCCUGCUCAACUCUGGAAGCCAGUGCCCAGAAUAUGGUCCAUUCCAUCUGAGUUUUCAAAUGUGUUGUUGUAACAUUGUGGGAAGAUUCUCUCAGAAUUUGCAACUCUCAUACGAAUCUGUACUAAUGCCUUCCACUUCUCAUUCCCCGUGUCGCUCAUUCAUGCCUUCUCCUGAUCAUACUUGCCAAAGGUUUGUUAUUUUGUUGGUUUUUAAAAAAGCCUUUGAUGUCAUUAUCCCCUUUUAAGAUGCCACCUCUUUCGUGAAUGUUGCGGUUUAAAAAAAGAUUUAUUCCUUCUUUGCUGAGUUGAAAAUUUAAUUUGUCAAUUUUCUUUCUUUUUAAAUAAAUGCACUCAAGGGCAUACGUUUUCCUCUAAGCACUGUUUUGGCCAGGUAUGUUCUGAUAUGUAUUUGGUGUUCCUGAGGUUGUAAUUUCUUGCUGCCCUUGUAAUUUACCUGCUGUCACUUGAUCAGUGAGGCAUACACACUGAAAGAGAUUAGGAAAUGAGAAUUGUAAGAACUGGGGAUGAGGAUUCCCGGGGCUAGAGAGACUUUCAGAAUGGAGCACAUCCUCUCCUCUUCCCCAAGAAGAAGCUGGAAGAAAGGGGUACAGCUGGUGGAGGCUUUGCCGAGAGUCAUCUAGAAGAGGGUGGGGCUUCAGGGAUGACAGGCAAGAUGCUGGGAUUUCCAGCUGGCCCAUGAGCCCAGCUGUGGGAGGCCAGGUUCCUCCAGGAUCAUUCUGCCAUUGACUUCCUGAGGGAAAUGAGACUCCAUUUCCCUGUCUGUGAAAUGGGGUAGAGACUGAAUCAGGACUUUAAAUGUAUUUGGGUCAGCUACCCUAUUUGAAACACGGAUGAAAAUAUUGUGGUCUGCUUCCAUAGAAAAAGACAGAAACACAUAAUUUGGCACACACACCAUGUCACAGGUUGCUGACCUGCCAUGCUGUUCUUGGCUUACACACCCUAGUUAGGAGUCCCUAGGGGCCCUUCCAGUUUUCCUGAUGGGAGGCUCUAAAGACACUUGCCGAAAUUUAUUCGCCCAUUCAUUUAUUUAUUCAACGAAUAUUUACUGAGCACCUACUCACAUUUCCUGGACCAUUCCCCAGUGCAGGGGCUUGCUUUCCCCAUCUAACAGUGGGCACAAAGCAGUCUGAGCUCUUCAUCACUGCUUCCCCCAGUGGGCAGGACCUAGGGAAGAACCUUCCUGAGGAGGUCUGAUCAGUCUCAAGACUCUGCCAGCCAGUGGAAGGAAAAGGCCUUCAGAUGUCGGCUGUUGCUUGGGACCCCCCACUGCAGGUCACGAGGCUUCAAGGACAGUUGACUUAGGGAAACAGUCUCUUGUCCAAGGGCAUGUAGUAGACAGGGGUGGAGCUGGGAUUUGAACCCAGGACUGUUUAGACUACAAAGCCCACAUAUUCCCCUUUACCUCACACCCCUCUUUGGGGGUAGGUGGUAAAGACUCUUAAGUCACAGGACUGAGUGGGGAGGGGAAGCAGUGCAGGGUCCGGGUGAAUGAGCCCAAGAGUGGCGGUGAGGGCUGGCCAUAGUGGGGCUCACUUGUCUCCCCUACUGGCUUGGGAGUUCCUUUUGGGCAAAAUGCUGUUAGUGGCAUUUGAUCCCAUGUCCCAGGGCUGGGUCCAGGGCGUGGAGGACUGGAGGACAUUAUCAAGAGUUUGUGGUAUUAAACUCAAUAGCACAAAGCAAGGUCAGGCAAAGGGAUAAGAAAAAGGGGUCAGAAUUGGGCGCAGGCAUUUGCGUGCACUCAGUUCGUCAUUCACCUCCCCCAGCCCUGCUUAUGGCUGGUUCCUUGCAUCCUUUACAACCCAGGCCAGCCCUCACCUCUCUGCCCAUCCUCCAGAGCAGCACCCUCACCCCAUCAUCCUCUCUACCCAUUGAUUUUCGUCAUUCCCCUCGGAACCGAUCUUACUUAUCCUGCUCACUAGCUUUAUCUGUGGCAGGUGAAUGAAUGAGGGAAAGAAUGAUUUCCAAGGCGCUUGGGCUGUGUCAGACCCAGGACCUGGCGGGGAGGCUGGCAGCAGCCUGAGGAAGCUGACCCUAGGGCUGGAGGUUAGAGGAGAGGGAAGCAGGGCGAGAUUCCUUUCUCCAUGGGGUGGGGGGCUGGUGGAGGUUAUAAAGGGCAUGUGAACAGGGACUGUGCAGAUGGCAGCAUGCGCAGGGUGGCAGGAAUCGGUCAGUGUGCGCAGACUCGGGGGAGCAAGGGCAGGCAGGGUGGGCAAAUACAUGGGGUGGCCUUCUCAGGGACCUCCAAACCUGAUCUCAUGCCCUUGUUUCCUUCCCCUACACCUUAGCCAUUUUUCCCAUUUGUGCUCCGCAACUUUCCUCCUUUCCUGACAGAUUUCUCUACUAAAUUUGACUUCGUUUCAACACUUUCGUUGGGCAAAUUACAUUAAGAUGAAUGUUGCAGGUACCCUUUAUGGUUUAUUUAUUAUGAUACUGUUUGUAUCUCACGCUUAUAAAUAACUUAUGUUAUAGCUUUUGUUUGUGGAAAUGUAACUUACAUAUUUUAUUACGCUUUCUGUAAACCUCAAAAAGAAUCUUGUCAAGGAAGCACUCUUAUCAGCAAUCCAAACUAUGGGAUGUAAAAACCGACACUAACAUUAUUUUUUAAUAUGCCAAGGAGGCAGGUUACUCUUGCUGUGGUUUGAAAGGUUUGCUGUCAUUGUAAACUUGCACC